GGGGGAGGGGGGGGAAGGGAAGGAGAAGCUAGGGAGUAGAAGCCCGGAGAUCUAGGAGCAGAGGAGUGUGGGGCCGGGGGCUACCCAGGCUUCAAGACCGCCCGAAGAAAAAGAAAAAAGGGGAGGGGGUGGGGAGAAGAGGCGGGACAUAGGAAAGGAAAAAAAGGAGCAAGCUGGAGGGAGGGAGUGGAGAGGAGAGGGGAGGGAAUAAGCGGGAGAGGCCACGUCACGGCUAUUGUGUUCCCCCUUCCGCCCCCCCCUCGCAUAUAAAGCCCGAAGCGCUCGUUUCACCAGCGCGCUUGGGUCUGGAGUCAGACAUCGCUUUAGUACUUCGAGCGCGCUAGCCGAGCGGAGCUGUUCCUAUAGUGUUGCAUCGCACUGAGAGGGCCCAGACCGACAGAUAGAGCGGCCAUGCGGACGGCGAUCGCGGCAAAACUGUGUCUGGGGCUCUUGCUCCUGGCACUCCUCUUACCCGCGCAGAUAUAUUCUCAAAAUACAACCUCUGCACCAAGUGUAAACACCACUUCAAUGAGCACUACCAUUAUGACAACAACUAAACAGCCAUCCAACAAGACCACAACUCCUAGAGGAAGUGGAAAUUCCCUGCAGUCAACUGCCAGCCUCUUCAUCUUCUCACUCUCCCUUCUUCAUCUCUACUGUUAAGAGACUCAGUCAAGCCAACAGCAAUGCUUCUCUAACCCAUCUUCCUGAACCAUCUGAGAUGGUUUCAUCUACUAGUCAGUGUGGCACAGAAGGAAAUAAAAUCAACAGGCAAUGUCUUGACCCCACUCACUCUAAUUCUACACAUUUAAAUUUAUUGACACGUCGGUUCCAGAGAAAGUCCCAGGCUGAUUUCCCACAUGUUGAAUAAUUUGAGAAGGAUCUGUAUGAUUUCAUGGGACUGAAUGAUAUUGGACUUUUUAGUUCAGUAUUUAAAUCAGUUGGAACUUCCAAGAUCAAGCCUGAUGAGAGAUGAUAUCCACUUAAUUCAAGAUUUAAAAUUCACUAAAUAUGAACAACCAGAACUCUACUUUGGGAAUAAAAGGGUAGAGUUUUGUCUUGAUUCAUAAAAGGGAAAAGGGUGUGGAAAAGAGACUUGGUUUUCACUUUGGUUCAUUAGCCAUAAAAUGAUUAGAUGGUAUAGACAAACUUCCAUGUUUCUAUUUAUAUGGAUGGUGGAAGAAGCAUCAUCAAGUUUUGGUAGUAAAUCCUCCACAUGUUCAACAGUACUAAUUUAAUGCCUAUAUACUCUAGAUAAGUUUAAAAACAUUAAGGUAUCACUAUUCUCAUAAGAGCUAAAUUAUUUACUCUGGGGCUUUGGAUUGACAUAGCAUUUAAAUUGCUAUAUCACAAAUGACAUGUGCCAGAGCAAUGAUGGAUUGGAACCUUCCCAAAAAGAAAAUGUAAUGAGUAAAAUUUGCUUUCAUAAUAUUUGGUAGAAAGCUAGACAUUCCCAUUACUUCCUCAUCUAACAAAAUGUUAGAUUUCAUUAGCUACCUUGCUUUCCUUAAUUCCAAAGACUUUGAAGUACACGACCUCUUGAAUAACUUUCAAAUACUGUUUUAUUUCUGCACAUGUCAAAUAGCUAAUAGUUUUGAAGAUGAUCUUUUGCAAAAGUUGAUUAUUUCAAAAUCUCAAAAUUAAGAGGCAAACGUGUAAAAGCCAAACAACAAGGAAAAUUGAGUAUUUGGAAUGAAAGGACUGGGAGCUUAACUGCAUCAUUAUAAUUUCACAAGGUCUUUUAUACUAUUUCUGUAAAUACUUUUUUUUUAAAACAAAUCUUUGUGAAUCAGAGUAGCUUACAACUGAGACUUGUCAUUCGAUAUUUUUAGAUAUAGAACCUGGUAUUAAGGCUAAAGCGGGCCGCAUUCAGGAAAGCAAAUAUUUCUGCUGCAAUGUUGAAAUCUUCUAAAGGAAUACUUUUUUGGGGGUUCACAUGGUCACACACUGUUGCUUAGAUUUGAGAUAUCCAAUAUGAUUGUAGUAUCCUAACUUAAUCCAAAAGCAAGGAAAGUUUGCUGUCCUUAGUAGCCAACCCAGAAACCUAAUGCAAGAAGUGUCACAAGCUACCGUGUGUGUGAAUGAACACUCCUUUAUUCUCUAUUUUGUAUGCUGUACUAUGUUUGGGGUUCUUGUAUAUUGUGUUUGUGUCCUCAUGCUUUGAUUCAUAGUAACUGCUCUCAUGUUAUGGAAUUGAUUUGCGUUGAACACAAACUGUAAAUAAAAAGAAAUAAACCCGA